CGGGGCGGGGGGGGGCCGUAGGUGCAUGGGACGGUGGGAGGGGGCGGUGUCCGGGGAGACGCGUCAGCCGCCGCCGUCGUCGCGGCGUCCCUCCCCUCCGGCGGCCCCAGCCCCGCGGGGAGCGGCGCGGCGGGGAUGAGGCGGGCCGCCUCGCACCCACCGUAGCGGCGCGCCCGCCUCCGCCAUGAAACGGAAGAGCUGGGCCGAGGCCCGGCGCCGCGCAGCCCCGGCGUCGCCGGCUCUGAAGAGAACUCGAGGCGCGGCGUCGCGGGCAGCCGGGGGCGAGACGGAACGGCGGCAGCCGCCCCCCGUCGGUCCGGAGAUCUGCCUGAGGAUCGCCGAUCGCCUUUAUUUUGCAAUUCUCUGCCAAAAACCAAAGAGUGGAGCUGCAAAUACCCAUUAUUUCUGCAUAGAUGAUGAACUUGUAUAUGAGAACUUCUAUGCAGACUUUGGACCACUCAAUCUGGCAAUGGUCUACAGAUACUGCUGCAAGCUAAAUAAGAAAUUAAAGUCAUUGUCAUUGAUAAGGAAGAAAAUAAUUCAUUAUACUGGCUUUGAUCAGAAAAAACAAGCAAAUGCUGCAUUCCUCAUAGGCGCCUACGCAAUAAUAUACCUGAGAGAAUCUCCAGAAGACGUGUACAGGCUUAUAUUCACUGGAGGCAUCUCAUAUCUUCCUUUCAGGGAUGCUUCCUUUGGUACUUGCAGUUUUCAUCUGACAUUGCUGGACUGUUUUCAUGCAAUAAACAAGGCUUUGCAGUAUGGUUUCCUGGAUUUCAAUACGUUUGAUGUAAAUGAAUACGAGCAUUAUGAAAGAGCAGAAAAUGGAGAUUUUAACUGGAUAAUACCAAACAAAUUCAUUGCCUUCAGUGGACCUCAUUCAAGAAGUAAAAUUGAAAAUGGCUAUCCCCACCAUGCUCCAGAGGCCUAUUUCCCAUACUUCAGGAAACAUAAGGUCACCACUAUAAUACGCCUCAACAAAAAACUGUAUGAUGCCAAGCGAUUUACAGAUGCUGGAUUUGAGCAUUUUGACCUCUUCUUUGCUGAUGGAAGCACACCUGGUGAUACAAUAGUUAAAACGUUUCUAAAUAUUUGUGAAAAUGCUGAAGGUGUUAUAGCCGUCCAUUGCAAAGCUGGUCUUGGACGAACUGGCACACUUAUUGCCUGUUACAUUAUGAAGCAUUAUCGGAUGACAGCUGCUGAAACUAUUGCGUGGAUUAGAAUAAAUAGACCUGGUUCAGUGAUUGGACCACAACAACACUUCCUGAUGGACAAACAGGCAGAACUUUGGACAGAAGGAGAUAUUUUCCGUGCCAAGUUGAAAGAGAACCGUGAAAUUGCUGUAACAAGAAUUCUGUCAGGAGUGGAUGAUAUUUCAAUUAAUGACACGGGAAACAGGAGGACCAUCCAAAAGGACAUUGAACUGUACAGCGAUGAAGAUGAAGCAAACUGUGUAACACAAGGUGAUAAGCUUCGUGCUCUGAAAAGUAGAAGGCAGGCAAAAGCUCCAGCAGCCUCUCCGCUAACAUGGGUCCUAGCUAUGCUGGUGUCUACACUGUGUAGCAUUGUCAUCUGGUGGAUUGUAUGUGGCUCCCUUCUGCCCAGCCUGCUAUUCUGUCUAGAUGGUUUAAGAACAUAGUAACCAUCAGGACCCCCUGAGAGAGAGCCACUGUUCUGAUACCUCAGAGGGAGAGAAGGAAAAGGAAUGCUUUACAGCAAAUGCGCUUAAUGAAAUUAUGCAUCCAAUCCGUCUCAAGGACUAGAGCAGUAUUGCGUUAAAUUUCAAAUAAGCAACCAGUGUUGAAGAGGAUAUUCAGGAAUGAAGGGGAUGUGACUAAAGGGGACUUGAUGCAAUUCGAGGAAGAUUACUUUGCUUCCAUUUUUCAGCAAAAGUGAAACAGAAGAAUCUCUUCCAUACUUUUAGAAUAAAAUGAACUGUCAAUAUGCCUGGUAGACACUUUCCUUAUGUGCUAACACUUCCUCAAACAAAACCAACAAAAUCUGUGUACAUUUAGACUCAGGUGUAAAUACUUAAGCUCUCUAUUAUAAAGAGGGCUUGCUAGUAUGUAUGAUGCAUGUGUAUAAAGUGUGAUGGCAAUCACUUAGCUGCUGACUACCAGCAAUUAAAAGGUGGUGGGAGCUUUUAAAUAUAUAAAUCUGUGUUGUCCAUUCAGACUGGGCUCAAGUCUCUACUUGAGAUUGAAAAUAAACCACAAAAGCUUUUUUCUUCUAGUAUUGGUACUCUCCUUUGUUAAUUGGCUAUUCUUUAUUAUUUUGUAUGAAGUUUUUUAUAAAGCCACAGUAUUGAGUACACAAAAUAACUAUUAUCCACCAAAGAGUGCUUUAUUUUCAAAGGUUGUGUGGUUUGUUUAUUUUUUAAAAAAACUAACUCUAAGCAAUUAAUUAAUUUUCAAUAGUAAUAGAUUUUUAUUUGUUCACAACCAAUGGCUCUUUUAACUAGUUGCAAUUGCUUUAAAUCUGGUAGGAUUUUAAAGGGGAGGAAAAAGAGCUUACCAUUUAAAGCCAUGCUGUCAUAUUGAAAUGUCAUUGCUCUUUCUUUUCCUAUCUUAAGUCUUUUAAGUGAAACUUCAGAUUAGCGUAUCUAAAAGGUGAGAAUUUUCCCCAGGUUUUAUUGGUACACUUGAUAAUAUGUGGAUGUCACUGUUUUUUAGCUUUGAGACACAAAAUGAGCGCAGCACACAAAAAAGGGAAAAUAAGCUUGCUGUACAACUGAGCUUGGUAGUGGAACUCAGGGCAGGUAGUUUUUAACAUCUAAUGAACACUUGAAAAACUACAGCUUACCUCUGCUAAAAAGCAGUCUGAUUUUUAGGGGAAUCUGUCCGAGACUGAAAUUUUGAUCCACUACAAGACUGUCUGCUAACACUGGCAGCGUUUGUUCCCUACCACUUCUCACAUGAUGAAAUCUCAAAGCCAACUUUGCAGUGAUGUACCCUUGUUUGCCAACCGAAGUUUAUAGCUGCAUAUCCCUCAGAUGACGACUGUUACCACAUAGCCUUAAAUACAAUACAGUUAUCUGUUGAUUUAGUGACUCCUGCAGUAGAAAGUAGAAGAAAUGGAGAGAUCUGAAAUGCAAUAACUGCAGGUUUUUUUAAGAUACAGGUAACCUCUGCAAGGGGGAGAAUUUUCUUUUUAUGAAUGUAAAUGGGCAGAUUCAGUGACUGGUUUCAAUCUACAUCCUUUUAAAUUAAAAUAAACCUUUCUGUUAGGCUGGUGAUUUUUGAAUGCCAGUAUGAAUAACCACAUAUUGGCUUGAAAACAUUCUGUGUCAAGAGCAUCAUGAGUUGGAGGGGAAGCAGGAUGUGAAGUGUAAGUAAGCUUACAGGUAGCAUCCGUGUUUGGAUAGCAAAAAUUGGACAAUAUGAAUACAAAGAAAACAGAAGGGGCUUGCAUGGUGCAAAACAAAGGACUGUUGAGGCUCAGACCCCCAAUAUCCUUUGUUUUCUUCAUAAUCUUAAUCCUCAACACCAUUUUCUUCUAGGUAAAAAGCACCUAAAAAAGAGGGACAGAAUUCACCCCCAUACAGUGAUUAAAAUUUCUUGGGGUAUUUGGGGUUUUUUUUUGUUUUAGAGUUUUUUUUAAGUAAGCCACUUGCCAAAAAGCUGAAGUACAAUAGUAGGUAUACUGUGCAAAUAUGAAUCUGUGUUUAUUUUUGAAGAAAAUUCUUAUCUUGGAAGGCAGAAAGGAGGUCAGAGGGUGAGAGUCAAAACAAGAAAGAUUUAGUAGUAUUUGCUCUGUUUGGUUUUGCCCUUCUCUCAGCCACGCUUCCUCUUUUAGCAGCUUUGUUUUUAACCCAAAAAUAAUUGGUCUAUUUCACACCUCUUCCAAAUUGGAAUUUGCCUUUUUUAAAGUAACCAGCAGAGCCAUUAGCGCUUGCAUAAAACAAGUGCACAAACACACACAAUAACAACUCUAGCUAAACCAAAACUGCAUGUUUGGCAUGAAUGUGUUUCGGGAUACCCCUUCCACCACUCAGUAUCUUCGUGAGAAACACAUAUAUGUCAAAGGGAUUUUACAUUUGAACUUUCCAAGCAGCCUUAUAUGGAAAACUAACUCAUUACCUCACUGUGCCCCAUCUAAUUGUACUGCUUAGUUUGUUCUUCUGAUUUUUUAGUACUUUGUCUAGCAUUUUUAUUAUACCAUACCACAGCUGUCUUAAAUACAAGAAUGAAGAGUGGGCACGGGUGAGGGAGUCCUUAGUUUUUAAAGGUUUUUUGAAUUCUGAAGUAUUAUGUGCCAAAAUGGAAUGCGUGGCAGCAGCUGCAUCACUGUUGUACCACAAAGCAGCUUAAGGAAGUUAUUUCUGCUGUCAUCAAUUAGGAGUUUUUCCUUAGAAAUUAUCUCUCCUCUUUCAAAUACAUGACAAAUGGAUUGUCACUUGAUCUCUUAUUCAAAAGUAUGCAACAAACUCAAAAGCUGUACUACCUUGGGUCAAAUUGCUAGCUUCCAUUACAGCAUCAGUAACUUAACUCAGAUGCUAACCCAGACCUUGUCUUUUUGCCCCAGUAUGACAAUAGAGGAAGUGCUGCUGAUUUAAAACUAUGAUUUGUAGAGACUCGUGCAUUAAAAUGGAAAAAAAAAAAAAAAAAAAGGUUCACCAGUUUGUUGCGCUGCAGUUUUUUUAUAUUAAUGGUUUGCAGACUGUUUGUCUUGUGUAAACUCAUGUACAGACUAUCAAGACCUAAAAUUUCUUGACUAAUCAGUACUGUUCAUCCUGAUUAUUUUUAAAUUGUAUAUUUCUAAUCCUAUUUUUUUAACUUGGAUUGACAGAAUGGGAGUUUAUUUUGCUGAAGGUAUUUUUAAAAGCUUCGUAUUAUCUUGUAAUAUUAAGUUCAAUAUGCAUUUGUGUCUCAUUUGAAAAUAGUGCAUACUGUAUUUGAUUUUAUAUGAAAUAUUGAAUAGUGAGAAUAUAAACAUGAAUUGUGUAAAAUUAAAAAUAAUAAUCAGAA